rnacentral:rRNA from 1 species
UACAGAGGUCCCAAGCGUUGUUCGGAUUCACUGGGCGUAAAGGGUGCGUAGGCGGUUUGAUAAGUUUGGCGUGAAAGCCCCGGGCCUAACCCGGGAAUGGCGUUGAAAACUGUUGAACUAGAGGAUUGGAGGGGAGACUGGAAUUCUUGGUGUAGCAGUGAAAUGCGUAGAUAUCAAGAGGAACAUCAGUGGCGAAGGCGGGUCUCUGGACAAAUCCUGACGCUGAGGCACGAAAGCUAGGGGAGCAAACAGGAUUAGAUACCCUGGUAGUCCUAGCUGUAAACGGUGUGCGCUUGCUGUAAGAGGAAUCGACCCCUUUUGUGGCGUAGCUAACGCGAUAAGCGCACCGCCUGGGAAGUACGGUCGCAAGAUUA